GAUGAAGAACGUAGCGAAAUGCGAUAAGUAAUGUGAAUUGCAGAAUUCAGUGAAUCAUCGAAUCUUUGAACGCACAUUGCGCCCGCCAGUAUUCUGGCGGGCAUGCCUGUUCGAGCGUCAUUUCAACCAUCAAGCCCCCGGGCUUGUGUUGGGGACCUGCGGCUGCCCGCAGGCCCUGAAAACCAGUGGCGGGCUCGCUGUCACACCGAGCGUAGUAGCAUAUCAUCUCGCUCUGGGCGUGCUGCGGGUUCCGGCCGUUAAAGCCUUAUUUACCCAAGGUUGACCUCGGAUCAGGUAGGAAGACCCGCUGAACUUAAGCAUAUCAAUAAGCGGAGGA
rnacentral:misc_RNA from 1 species